UACUAGGGCGUAAAGCGCAUGCAGGCGGCCUGUUAAGUCAGAUGUGAAAGCCCCGGGGCUUAACCUCGGAAUUGCAUUUGAAACUGGCAGGCUAGAGUCUUGUAGAGGGGGGUAGAAUUUCAGGUGUAGCGGUGAAAUGCGUAGAGAUCUGAAGGAAUACCAGUGGCGAAGGCGGCCCCCCUGGACAGAUACUGACACUCAGAUGCGAAAGCGUGGGGAGCAAACAGGAUUAGAUACCCUGGUAG
rnacentral:rRNA from 1 species